rnacentral:rRNA from 1 species
AAGGCUAUUUGUUGAUGUACCUCUUUUACUAAAUGUACCCCAUCAUGGCUUGAUAUAGUUUUGCCAGUUGGCAAAAUUUGCCACUCUAAGAAAUUAGGAGCAUGGUACCAUUUUAGUAAUGACUAAUAAAGUGCCAGCAGUCGCGGUCAUACUUUAAUUACAAGUAAAAGUAUUUAGCAGACUGUAAAUGCAAUAUAGAUCUUUGUAGUGAAAUAUAAAUAUAAACCCACGAUCUCAUUUAUAAAUAAUAUAACGGUUGAUUUCAAACAGGGAUUAGAUACCCCUUUAUGCAGCACGUACUCUACUCUGCUGGGAACUACACUAGACACUCAAACCCAACCAACAUGGCGGUAACUUGAACAUUUAGGGGAACUUACGGAAUAAUUGAUAACCACCAAGAACACAUACGUUUGAUUAAAUCUUACAUACCGUCGUCGGCAGACAUACUAUAAUAGUAUGUCACAAGGUAUUACAAGAAGACAGAUCAAGGUGUAGACUAUACAAACGUUCGCGCGAGUUACAAUAAAAAUUUUAUUCAUACAACAAUGUUAUCAUUGACAGAUGUAGGACUUAAAAGUAAUAAAUAUCAUGAUUAUUUUAUGAAUACCACUCUA